GCAGGUAUAGCUCAGUGGUAGAGCAUAUGCUUAGCAUGCACAGUCUUGGGUUCAAUUCCUAGUACCUCCA
rnacentral:tRNA from 1 species